rnacentral:rRNA from 1 species
GCUGGCGGCAGGCCUAACACAUGCAAGUCGAGCGGUAACAUUUCUAGCUUGCUAGAAGAUGACGAGCGGCGACGGGUGAGUAACGCGUAGAAAUCUACCUAGUAGUGGGGGAUAGCCCAGAGAAAUUUGGAUUAAUACCGCAUACGCCCUACGGGGGAAAGCGGGGGGAUCUUCGGACCUCGUGCUAUUAGAUGAGUCUGCGUCGGAUUAGCUUGUUGGUGAGGUAAUGGCUCACCAAGGCGACGAUCCGUAGCUGGUCUGAGAGGAUGACCAGCCACACUGGAACUGAGACACGGUCCAGACUCCUACGGGAGGCAGCAGUGGGGAAUAUUGCACAAUGGGCGCAAGCCUGAUGCAGCCAUGCCGCGUGUGUGAAGAAGGCCUUAGGGUUGUAAAGCACUUUCAGCAGUGAGGAAAGGGGUGUCGUUAAUAGCGCCAUCCUGUGACGUUAACUGCAGAAGAAGGACCGGCUAACUCCGUG